rnacentral:rRNA from 1 species
UCGGUAAUUCCAGCUCCAAUAGCGUAUAUUAAAAUUGUUGGCGUUAAAAAGCUCGUAGUCGAACUUCGGUGGUUGGAAGCCGGUCCGCUCUUAACGAGUGUGUACUGGAUCUUCUAGUCGCUUUACCUCCUGGUGAACUAGCAUGGCGUUUACUCGUCGUGUUAGGGAACCCGGACAGUUACUUUGAAAAAAUUAGAGUGUUCAAAGCAGGCAUGUUUGCCCGAAUAUCUUAGCAUGGAAUAAUAGAAUAGGACGUGCACGCCUAUUGUGUUGGUCUCUAGGUGUGCCGUAAUGAUGAAUAGGGGCGGUUGGGGGCAUUUGUAUUCAAUUGCUAGAGGUGAAAUUCUUGGAUUUAUUGAAGACAAACUACUGCGAAAGCAUUUGCCAAGGACGCUUUCAUUGAUCAAGAACGAAGGUCGGGGGAUCGAAAACGAUUAGAUACCGUUGUAGUCUCGACAGUAAACGAUGUUGACUGGGGAUCAGUCGGGGUUUUAUUUUAUGACCCGAUUGGCACCCAAAGAGAAAUCUUAAGUGAAAUUCGCGGGGGAGUACGGUCACAAGGCUGAAACUUAAAGGAAUUGACGGAAGGGCACCACCAGGAGUGGAGCCUGCGGCUUAAUUUGACUCAACACGGGGAAACUCACCAGGUCCAGACACAAUGAGGAUUGACAGAUUGAUAGCUCUUUCUUGAUCUUGUGGUUGGUGGUGCAUGGCCGUUCUUAGUUGGUGGAGUGAUUUGUCUGGUUAAUUCCGAUAACGAACGAGACCUUAUCCUGCUAAAUAGCCCGGCCGGCUUUGGCUGGUCGCUGGCUUCUUAGAGGGACUUUUAGCGUUUAGCUAAAGGAAGUUUGAGGCAAUAACAGGUCUGUGAUGCCCUUAGAUGUUCUGGGCCGCACGCGCGCUACACUGACAGAGCCAGCGAGUAUUCUUCCUUGGCUGGAAAGCCUGGGUAAUCUUGUUAAACUCUGUCGUGAUGGGGAUAGAACAUUGCAAUUAUUGUUCUUCAACGAGGAAUUCCUAGUAAGCGCAAGUCAUCAGCUUGCGUUGAUUACGUCCCUGCCCUUUGUACACACCGCCCGUCGCUACUACCGAUUGAAUGGCUUAGUGAGGCUUUCGGAGCGGCGCUUGGGAGCUGGCAACGGCACCCGAAUGCUGCAAAGUCAUACGAACUUGGUCAUUUAGAGGAAGUAAAAGUCGUAACAAGGUAGCCGUA